GUAACACGUGACCAACCUGCCCCGCGCACCGGGAUAGCCCCCCGAAAGGGGGAUUAAUACCGGAUGCGCCGGGAGGGCCGCAUGGCCCUCCCGGGAAAGCCCAGGCGGCGCGGGAUGGGGUCGCGGGCCCCAGUCAGGUAGUAGGCGGGGUAGAGGCCCGCCUAGGCCUACGACGGGUAGCCGGGUUGACGAGACCGACCGGCCACAUGGGACUGAGAUACGGCCCAGACUCCUACGGGAGGCAGCAGUGGGGAAUAUUGCGCAAUGGGGGCAACCCUGAACCGCAGCAACGCCGCGUGCGGGACGAAGGCCUUCGGGUUGUAAACCGCUUUCCAGCAGGGAAGACAUCGACGGUACCUGCAGGAAGAAGCCCCGGCUAACUACGUGCCAGCCGCAGC
rnacentral:rRNA from 1 species